rnacentral:lncRNA from 1 species
UUUUUUUUAAUAUUAAUUAGUUUUUCUAAAUAUUAGUUAGUUUUUAAAUAUUAGUUAGAUUUUUCUUUUUAACAUUAAUUAGUUUUUUUAGUGUUAAUUAGUUUAAGUGUUAGUUAGCUUUUUUUUUAGUUAAUUUUUAAUAAUAGUUAGUUAGAAUUUUUAAAAUAUUAAUUAGUUUUAUUUAUUUAAUAAUUAUGUAUAUUAUAUCUACAUUGGAUUCCCUCCACAUAAAAAGACAAAAAAAAAUUCAUUCAGUAACAAAAUUCAAAAUCCACUCAAUAUUCCCUGCUCCACUCCUAACAACCUGCUCCACUACCUCAUUACUCUAAAAAAAACGACAAAAAAAUAAAAAUGAUAAAAGGGAUCUCUCAACUCUCACGCUGAAAAAAAAAACCCUCUCUCUCAGAAUUCUCUCUCAGCACUGUUCACUCUCACAUUCACUCCAACGUCACUCUCUCACACUCCACACUCCAUUUUCACGCUAACCUCACUCGCUCACUUCCCUCAGAAAAUUUCUCUCCACUCCCUCUCUCACAACAAAUCCCUCUUCGGAUUCUCUCAUAAUCCCUCAAAGAAACCCUAGCCGCCACCCUUCAAUCUCGUCGAAAUCACCUCUACCAUCNUAAUUAGUUUUUUAGUGUUAAUUAGUUUAAGUGUUAGUUAGCUUUUUUAUUAGUUAAUUUUUAAAUAGUAGUUAGUUAGAGUUUUUAAAAUAUUAAUUAGUUUUUUAUUUAUUUAAUAAUUAGGUAUGUAUAUGUUAACAUUGGAUUCUCUUUUCUUCAUAAAACAGAAAAAACAAAAAAUAAAUAAUAAAAACAAAAUUCAAAAUACUCCAACGUCUCUCAUUCUCCUCCACCCACUGUCUGCUCCACUACCAUUCCACUACAACUACCUCCGCUCUCUCUCUGCUGUACGAAGGAAAAGAAAAAGACAAAAAAGAAAUAGAUAAAGGGGAUUCACUCUCUCACAAGAAAAUAGACGCCACCCACACAGAAAAGAUCUUCGUCUCUCACUCUCACACCUCACCUUCGCUCUCACCAGUCUCUCACGCUCCAAACCCUUCAUCCCCACAAGAAAAACCCCCUUGCCGCCGCUACAAAAAACCCUCUAUCACUCUCACUCGCCGUAACCCUCAAACCCUUCAUCAUCUCUCCACAAUCGUUCAUCUUCCACCAUUAAAGCAUCACCGCCGUAAACCCACUAUCAAUCACCUCCAACCAUUGUCAAAUCCCUAGUUUCGAAACACCGGCAAAUCCGUCGCCAAACCCCUUCAACCGCUGGAACCCCUUCCGUGUAACCUCCAAUCGUCACAAUCCCGACCGUCAAACCCUCAAUCGCUCGCCUUCACCACCUUCCAACCCUUACCGUCGCCGCCGCUCUCAAACAAUCCCCUCUUACCCUCUCUCAGCCACCGUCACAUUCGACCCACAUCACGAAACCUUCAGUUCCACCUCCGCCGCACCAUCUCAACCGCAACCUCACAAACCCUCGACCUCAGCAACCCCUCCACCUCAAACGAAACACUUCACGUACAUCACCCUAACCGUGGGAAUCGCUGACACAGUCCACCAACAACAACCAUCCUUUUUAACAAAAACCCCAAAUAUUGUUUGAAUGCUCCUUACUGAAUAUUUGUUUUGGUUAAGUGUUUGAAGUCUGCAGGAAGUUUUGGAGAUCAUUAUUGGGAACUUUGGAACCAUAGUGAUUUCAAGAAGCCAAGAGACUACAGCCGUGAAGCCGUUGUUCUUCAAGGCGGAGCAUCUGCAAAAAUUCUGGUAGAGACUAUCCAGUGGUUGGUCCAAUACGACGACACAGGGGUAAUGUUUCAAAUUUUUUCAAUGUGAUUUUGCUGUACUGCUCGAAACCUGGACUUGUAUUUGCAACAUCAUUGAUUUGUGUUGUUUUUUGUUUUUUUAAUCGUCGUACUGUUGGGCUCCUUGUCUGUUUGUUUAAACGAUAUUGAAUAGGCAAAUUCAAAUCAUUCGUUUUGCAUUCAAGAUAUGAUAGUAAACCCUUUGCCUUACGGAUUGGAAACUUGCAUUUGUGUUUGAGUACUGGGGCGUGAAUUUAGAGAUUAUAUUACUGUUACUUGAAAUAGUAAAGGCGUAUGUAGUAUUCGUUUCUUUUUACUGCUGCAAAUCGAGCCACAAUGUUGUGUUUGGAUAAGUGAUAAUUUACUGUGUUGUUUUGGGUUUGAUUAAGAUAAAUCAUGAUGAUUAUUGUUGAAUAAUUCAGUUGAUCACGGUGCAAAUUCAUUGUAUGGUUAGUCGAAUUAAAAUGUGGAUUCGGUAAUUCAUACCGAUAUACCGCUCAAAUCGUAAUAUCAAUCAUAUGACUUUACCGCAUUUCUAUCUCACAUUCCAAUUCAUUGUUGCUAUGUUUGAACCGAUUCUCAAGCACAUUUGGUGACCCCGAUUAAAUUUUGCAAAUCAAUGUCAAAUAUCCACUUCUUUUUUUUUUU